AUACCACGUUGAAAUACCUGUUCCCGUACGACCACCGAAGUUCAGCAACGUCGAGCCUAGAGGGUACUUAGAUGGGUGACCACUUGAGAAUACCAGGUGCUGUAAG